rnacentral:rRNA from 1 species
GAUGAACGCUGGCGGCGUGCCUAAUACAUGCAAGUCGAGCGAACAGACGAGGAGCUUGCUCCUCUGACGUUAGCGGCGGACGGGUGAGUAACACGUGGAUAACCUACCUAUAAGACUGGGAUAACUUCGGGAAACCGGAGCUAAUACCGGAUAAUAUAUUGAACCGCAUGGUUCAAUAGUGAAAGACGGUUUUGCUGUCACUUAUAGAUGGAUCCGCGCUGCAUUAGCUAGUUGGUAAGGUAACGGCUUACCAAGGCAACGAUGCGUAGCCGACCUGAGAGGGUGGUCGGCCACACUGGAACGGAAACAGCGUCCAGACUCCUACGGGAGGCAGCAGAAGGGAAUCUUACGCAAUGGGCGGAAGCCUGACGGAGCAACGCCGCGUGAGAGAUGAAGAUCCUCGGAGCGUGAAACUCUGUUUUUAGUGAAGAACAAAUGUGUAAGUAGCUGUGCACGGCUUGACGGUACCUAAUCAGAAAGCCACGGCUAACUACGUG